GGGGACGAUCGGUUUCGACAGAAAGCACAUUAAAAAGAUGGCAAGCCGAGUUCGGUUAUAACUCGUAACCCCGAUUUAAUCGGGGUAAAAGUAACCAAAAAAAUUAAGCAAGACCGCAAGGUUAUGCUCUAGCCUACGCGCAAGCGUAACUAGCAUCCUGAGAUUUGAUUCUCGACCGAAUUGACUGGGUGUAAACCCGUUCGAGAUGCUUUACAGAUUUUAAUGAUUUAAAGAUCUGUAACCAAGACAAAUAAAUCUUACUUUAAAUUUUCUUGUUGGUUAGAUUAAAUUUAGAGGAAAUUAAAAAACCAAAUAAGCUUGUAGAAAUCUUUUAUAUGACUUUUUGGACGAGGGUUCGAUUCCCUCCGUCUCCACAU
rnacentral:tmRNA from 1 species